rnacentral:rRNA from 1 species
CACGUAGGAGGCGAGCGUUGUCCGGAAUCAUUGGGCGUAAAGAGCGCGCAGGCGGCUUGGCAAGUCGGGUGUGAAAUCCCGGGGCUCAACCCCGGGACUGCAUUCGAUACUGUCAGGCUAGAGGUAGGUAGGGGAGAUCGGAAUUCCUGGUGUAGCGGUGAAAUGCGCAGAUAUCAGGAGGAGCACCGGUGGCGAAGGCGGAUCUCUGGGCCUUACCUGACGCUCAGGCGCGAAAGCUAGGGGAGCAAACGGG